UACGUAGGGUGCGAGCGUUGUUCGGAAUUACUGGGCGUAAAGGGUGUGUAGGCGGAGCCGUAAGCUAGAGGUGAAAGACCCGAGCUCAACUCGGGAGGUGCUUUUAGGACUGCGGAUCUAGAGAUAGUCAGGGGCUGGUGGAAUUCCUGGUGUAGAGGUGAAAUUCGUAGAUAUCAGGAGGAAUACCGGAGGCGAAAGCGGCCAGCUGGGGCUUAUCUGACGCUGAGGCACGAAAGCGUGGGGAGCAAACAGG
rnacentral:rRNA from 1 species